GUUUCCUCAUCUGUCAAACAGAAGCAAUCGUAUUUGCUUCUCUACUUCAUGGAGUUAUCGCAAGCUGCGUGACUUUAUCAUCUUUUAAGAUUCAUCAGCAUUCAGCGGAGAACCAGACAGAGAAAAAACGUGGUAUGAUCUGCGACAUCAAGGCAAAGGGCCCAAAAGUUGUUCUGGCCCUGGGAAAGGGUCCCAGAGUCAGACUGGCCAGCUUUUACCACGGCUGAUGGUCCAGCAUGCCGGCCGGAGCCCCCGCCUCCUUGGGGCACCUUGAGAAGACCAGGCAACAGGGAGAACUUUAUCCUGGACCCAUCUUGGUCUCCACAAGGACCCUGGGGACUUGCUGGCCGCAGUGCUCUAUCUGCUGGCCUGACGAGUUCAACCAGAGACGGACCCAUUCUAGCCUGGGUGACAAAUGGAAACUGUUAAGAUUGUGAUCAAGAGAGUUUACGAGGUGGCAUUUAUCACGGGCAUGAUCCAUAUCUCGGCCCCAGCCUCCCAGGGCCAGAACAUCUGUUUCCGGGGUCCCAGAGCUGACUGGACUCCAGGAAGUCAGCUCCAGUUUAUGAAACUCACAAAAACAUGUUUGUCAUGAGCAAUCCAACAGGCGAGCUGGACGGAGUGUCGGGCCGGCCCACCCAGCACACCGCAGUCCAUGGGAAAUCUCGCUGGGCAGCCACAUGACAGCAGCAGGAUGCCACUCAGCCUUGAGCACCACACAGUGAGGGGCUGGGCAGCCAAGUGUGGCGUGGCAUCAGGCUCCGACCAGGACGAGAGCUGGUGACACCAGAGGCUGGCAGAGCACACCUGUGGGCCAGGAUGUCCUUUGCCAGGGAGGGCUGGAAGCCAAGGUGGACCUCUCUGUUCCUGUGUGCCACGGGGACGGUCAAGGUCGGGAAUGCCUCCGCUCCCUGGACUUUGAUUCUUCCUGAUCCCCGUGAAAUGACAACAGUUG
rnacentral:lncRNA from 1 species